UACGUAGGGUGCAAGCGUUGUCCGGAAUUAUUGGGCGUAAAGAGCUCGUAGGCGGUUCGUCGCGUCGGCUGUGAAAACCUGAGGCCUCAACCUCAGGCCUGCAGUGGGUACGGGCAGACUAGAGUGCGGUAGGGGUGACUGGAAUUCCUGGUGUAGCGGUGAAAUGCGCAGAUAUCAGGAGGAACACCGGUGGCGAAGGCGGGUCUCUGGGCCGACACUGACACUGAGAGACGAAAGCUAGGGGAGCGAAUGGG
rnacentral:rRNA from 1 species